UGUCUAACACACUUGGGAGGCAUGAAUGACUCAUUUCCAAUAGAUAUUUUGAACCUUUCGAGCUUUCUGGCCAAAAAACCUUCUGGUAAAAUACUGUCAUUUUUAACGUCAAUUUCUAGAGUGGUUAGCCGAGGUAAAUGCAUCAAUUCGUCAAGGCUAGCAUUACUUCUUUUGCUGUUUGCUCUUUCAACCUCCCAUUCAAUGAAGCAAUUACCCAUAUACAGCUCUUCUAGUCGAGUUAAGCUUGAUAUGAGAUUGGGCGCAAUAACUUUUAGAUGGAAACAAUUGGUUAAAUCUAACAAUCUCAACUUAUUCAAUUGACCAAGUUCUUCUGGCAACUGCAUAAUAUCAGACAUCAAAAAGCUAAGGACUUCUAGAUUCUUCAACUUCCCAAUGAUUGCUAUGUCCCCCAACGCACUUUGAUCCAGACAUAGUGUGUGAAGAUUUACUAGAAGAUCAAUUGAAGAUGGAAAAGAAGAAAACUGCAUUCGAGUAAAAUCCAGAACUCUAAGCUUUUUCAUCCCGAUAAAAAAGUUCCCAGGAAUAUUGAUUUCAAGAGAAGAAUCUUUGAGAGAGAUACAUAAAAAUUCAAGGUUUGGGCAUUCUAAUCCUUCAGGAAAAUGACGAUUACUAUCAUAUCUUAAAGUGAUAGCUUUGCAUUUUCGAAGUGCAUCCUCAUUUCGCCAGUCCCACACAUCCUCAUUUCCUACCAAAAUCCCAUGUUGGUCUCGGCAUCCAAUUGAUAUUGCGACAUCGCGAACAACAUCAUGCAUUGAAAAUUGUUCAUUGCUAUCCUCAAUCAACAAACAAGAGUUCCUAAGUUCAUGGACCAAUGCAUAUAAUUUGUCUCGCGCAUCUUCCAUCUUAUUGACUCUUUUAAAUAUACCCAAACCCAUGGAGUACUUAAACAAGUCCAAAGUAAGAAUACGGGUUUCCAUUUGACUACAGAGCAGAAAUAUUUUCUUGAGUUGCUCAUCUUUUAAAUGGUUGAAACUCAGCUCAAUACUUGAAUAAGUCUCUGCAGAUACUCCUUCGAAGUUGUCCAUUGAAGGCGUUCGGAGUUCUCCCAAGGAAACCUUCCAUCCAUGCAGACUCUUGCUUCUCAGUGCCAUUGCCACUGUAGUCAAGGCAAUGGGCAAACCUCCACAUGCCCUGGCGACGUCUAUUGCUGUAGAUUUCAACUCACGAUUUUCAACAUCAUCACCGACCAUCAUCUUAAACAAUCGCCAAGCUUCUUCUUCAUUUAAAUUGUUAAUCAAGAAGUUGUAAUCAAGAAGUUGUCUUUAGAUCCCAUUUUUAAGAGGACACUACGAUCUCUUGCUGUAAGCAGUAGUUUGCAGCCUUUAUGAUCUUCUCCAAAAGGAAUUCCAACAGUCUCCAAGUCAAGGUGUUUCCAGAUGUUAUCUAAAACCACAAGGAUCUUCUUCUCAUUUCUCAAUCGCUCAAAUAUUCUACUUGCUCUGCUAGAUUCAACUUCCUCGCGCAACUCCAGGCCCAACUUCUCGGCAAUUUCCUGUUGAAUCCUUUUUAUGUCUGGGAUUUGGGAAACCUCUGAAAAGACCACCAUAUCAAAGAGCUUGUCUUCCAUAGCUUGCCUGGCAACCUUCUUCACCAGUGUCGUCUUUCCAAUGCCGCCCAUGCCGUACACCCCAAUGAUGCUGACACUAACAUCGAUCAAUGCGUUUUUUAUAGCCUCCAAAGUAGAACUUCUUGAUUCGAAGGCCUCGUAGCCUUUGUGAGACUUGAGCCAAAUCUCCUCCGGAAUGGUACGGUAGGAAAUUCUAUCAUCAAAUCUCCCAGCUUCUUCUCGGAGUUUAAAAAGGGCCUCCUUCUCUGUUUCUGCUUUCUUUCCAUGCUGAUAGCGAGUAAUCCAAUUAGGAAACAGCCCCAUGAGACAUCGUUCAUUUGCUUUCUCUUCGUCUAGAAUGAAUUUGGCUGCCUCCUCAAUGCUCUUGUUCGCAUUAACCAGCCAUUUCUCAACCUUCUCUUCAAUCUUUUCACUUUUUCUUUCAGCCUCAGAAACUCUGCGCUGAAUGCUUUCUCUUUCAUCCUUGAGCCCAUCGAGUUCUGCCUUGAGAUUCUCAAAGUUGGCGGCGGAGUUAUACCAAUAACUAAAUUCGCGUUGUGCGUGAGGAGACAAGCAGUUUACAACUCCUGGAACAAUGCUUUUCAAAAUGUCCAUUUUUUUUUUGGGUUGGGGGGGGGGGGGGGAGGGAACGAAAUAGAAAUAGAACAGAGUCAACGGCCGCGCAAUUGAUAAUCAAGUAGAAGCAAAACAAGGCAAAAUUGAAAAAAGGGAAAAUCAGUGUAACAGAAGAGAAUCAAAGUGUUUUUGAGAUCAGAAAAUUGAAUCAAGAAAAGGGUUGCUUGAUCCAAUGAAAAUGCAAAGAGCUGAUGGAAAAAGGGAACAAAGAUAAAUAAGAAAACGGCUAGCACGAGCAGUGACCACGAUAAACAGAAGCAAAGUGUGUAUGAGAUCAAAAGACGAAAAUCAGGAGAGGUUUUCUUGACUGAGAAUUGAAGGCAAAUAGUAGGAGCUGACGAAUACGGGGAUCAAGAGGGAAAAACUGCUUGCUCGUAAAACUACUUUUAAGCGAAUCUGAUAAAAUUAUUUCAAUACUCGUGGGCGACUCCUUUUUAAACUGCAGAAGGAAAAAAAAAUAUUCUGAAUUUCAAUAUAUUAUUUUUUAUCCUAAUUUAUGUUAGGACUCGUAAUCUCGUCUUAAAUAAUUAAUUAGUAGAUAAUUUUUCCAACAAAUAUGUGUUGAAUAGAUAUAUUUCUUGACUAUGAGCAGGCUAGAUAUAUUUUAGCAUAGGAAUGAAAGUACAAGUUGUGUCAUAUUAUAAUUAUCAAUUGACCUAAAAAUGUUGUUGUGAAUUGAAAUUAUUUUUGUAAAAUAAAAGGAUUUGGGUCAUCGUUCGUUAUUUUCUGGCAAUAUUGUCUGGUCGUGACUAUUUGUUAAAUAUUAAAAAAAUAAAUUUAUAUUUAUUAAGUAUAAAAAAUAAAUAAACAAACAAAAAUAAAAGGAAAAGUUUAUACAUUACAUAAAAUAAUAAGAACAAUAUCAAUAUUUCACACUCCAUAAUUGAGUGAUGUGUUGUCCAACUGCCAUACAUUGGUCCCAAAUGGAGACUUAAAUAUUAAAGUCCAAAGUUAUUGUGAUGAUAACUUAUAAUCGCCAAACUUGACAUACGGGUAAUCAUGCAUUAUAAGGUGGUGAUUUCUUCCGAUCGGAACCUUAUUUUUCAUUUACAAAUAAAUAAAUGACGUGACUUAACGGGUGGUGGGGUCCUUUGUGCCAUUUGUGUAUUUCACUGAAUAGUUGAUUCAACUAUUCUGAUCGAAAGAUUCCUGGAAGUUGCCAUUUGCCAAUGCUACUAACAUUUUCAAACUUGGAAAACCCUUCAAUCAAGCUUUUAGUGGUAGGCUCUGGUAGCUUGGUUUGAUUAUGACAUAUGAUUAUUUGAUAAUAAAGUUAGAGGAUGUAUUAAUAUAAAAUUUGUUUAUUGGUGUUGAAGUUAAUUAUCUCAUUAAUAAUAGUAUAAAAAGUUAAUUACUAAGAAACACAUAGUAGUAUUCUGGGAUAUAAUUUUAUAUCAUAACUUUGUAAGUGUAUAAUUACUCAUUAAAUUAACAAAAUUAUUUUAAAAUAUUUAGUUAGAAAAAAUAAAUUAUAUUCUUUUUAUUUCAAAUAAUCUAUAAGUUAACUCAAAACAUAAUCAAGCUGAGAAUUAAAAUAAUGCUACUGUAUGAGAGGAUUUUUAUUUUUUCCCGAAGUUUCACAAGGAAAUUAUUGAUAUAUAGCUUUAUUCGGAUCAUCUCAGUUCAAACGACAAAUAAUUGAAAGACUAAAGUAAAUAGACCAGCCAACAACUUUGUACAGUAGAGUUCAAAAAUUAAGGUCAUCGUAUUGAGGUGUUCUGUCUUGAAAAGUACGGCAUAAUGAUAAAAUAAAAAUUAUUAGUCUUUGGUAAGAUAUGACUUUUAAAUAAUAAUUUCACAAAAAUACAAGGAAUAUUUAUAAAGUACUUCUAUAGUGAGGAGUCCCUCACUUUGUUAAAGUGAAAAUAUCAAUAAUAUACAAGAAACAUAUAUUUUAACACAUUAAGAACUGUAUCUUUUUAAUCGAUUGGUGUAUUGAAAUAUGUGUUAUUUAGUUUGUUAGUGAUAUCAUCACUUUGUUAAAAUAAUGAUGUCAGAACCAUUAUAUAUACAUAUAUAUAAAGUGCUUCUCUCCAAAAUUUAGACUUUAUUAAAAUUUAAGAAAGCAAAUAUAUUUUGUAUGGUAUAAUAGUGUAAUAACAUCACCCGAAUAUAUCAUAUAAAGUAAUAGUUUUUGGAACUUUAAUAAAGUUCAAGAUUAUAGAAUGAAUGAUUUAUAUAUAGAUAUUAAAUUUUUUAUCAUAAAGUGGAAGACAAAAGUAACAUAUUUUUCAAAUUAUAAUAAGUAUUUAUCAAAUAAUUUAACAUCGUAAUUUCUCCUAACUAGUGUAGUAAAUACGACCUAGGAGGUACAUUCAAAGCAUUUCAUAAGUUAAUUGUUAAUAAUAAAUGAUACAUGCAGCUCCAACCAUCAUUGUACGGUGAGUAAUUUCAAUAGAUUUUUUAUGGCUUAAUAAUAAUGAACUUGAAUGUCAAAAUAUUAAUGGCCAAACAGACCAGCUGCCAACGACUUAUUCCUCAGUCUCAUUUCUUAUUCUGUACGCAACAUUUCAAAGUUAAUCCAAAAACAAAAAACAAAAAUUAGUUCAGCUGACUAAAUUUGAAAGCAUGGAUUUGCCGUCGAUUAAAAAUCGUUUUGUAGGGAAAAUUUUUGGAUUGCAAUUUUCAUACAAUACAUAGAAUUAUCAUAAUCUAUUAAUUAUUUUUUUGCUUUUCUGUGGUAGUAAGUCCGACUCCUUAGUGACAAUUUAAAUUGAAAAAAUAAAAUCAUAAAUAAGAAUUAUUUGAUAAGAAUUAAAAUAAUUGAUAAAAAUUUGAGAGGAGCAAUUUUGGAAGAUUCGAUUUCUAAUAGAAAGGGAAUUUGAAUUUUACAGCCUUCGGUGAGGAAUCCAAAAUGCACAAUUUGAUGAAAAUUAAAUUUCAAUAGAAAUUGAAUUCCCACAUAUUAGUGAAAACCAAGCAAUAGAAAAGUGAAUGGAAUUUGAAUUCAUUUCCUUUCUCUCCCCUCCCUCUAACUAAACACCAUCGAAAUCCAAAGGUAUGGGUUUGGGAUUCCAUAUUGAUCAGAAUGGGAUUUGUCCAUAUUAUUAGGACCAAUUUUAAAAGCAGAGUUUAUGAUUGAAAUUAAUCCCAAUUGUUGAUUUCGGACUAGAUAAGAAUUUAUCUUGGAACUCCAAUUCUCCCAAUUAUUUUAGUUGGCAAUAUGUUUAACAUUAUUUUUUUAACAUUAUUAAUUGCAUAUUAUUUAAUUAUCAAUAUAUAAUAUUCUUUAAUUUUCUAAUUUUAUAGGAUUAGACACAAAAUUGAUUGUACCUUUUGAAAUUUAAGGGUUAUGUCAAUUGAAUAGAAAACUUGGAGUUAAACUUUUGGAUGUUUUUGUUGAUGAUCAAUUUAUGCAUGAAUUUUUGUACGUUUACUUUGGUUUAUUUUUAUUACUAAAACAUUUUUAUUAGUUUGAUUUAGGGUCAGUUUGGUAAUCCUGUAGCUUUUAAAGUAAUUACAAUUAGUUAUUGUUAGAGUGCAAUUUAUGCACUAGUUUUGCAUUAUUUACUUCCCUUAAUAUCAAUGUUUUGCACUUAAUAAUAGUGAUUUACUUGUGUUUUACUUUUGUAGGUGCAAUUCUAUUGAUUGAUGAUAAAAUUGAGUUAUAAGAUGAUGUUUAAGGAUGAUUGUUCUCUUGGAGAAAUUAUGAGCGUCAGAAGAACUUUGUUGAUAAGGCGUGGGCGCGUGCUGUCAACUGCGGACCUGCAGUUUUUAGUUUAACGUGUUUUAUAUUUUUGGUUAUUUUUGUAAUUACGAAUUUAAUAUUUCAGAUAUUAGGAUUUUAUUUUAAAUAGAAUUCUAAAAGAGAAGAGAGAGAGAGUAUUUAAGGGAGGAAUCUAUUGUGAAAAAGGGGGAUUUGGAUUGGAGAAAAAGAAAGAAACCCUAGAUCUAAUUUUUCUCUUCUCUCUAUGAAGAGCUAAACCUAUUUUUCUGGUUGAAGGAUAAUGAAGCUUUGAUUCAUCACUACUGUGAGAUCUUUCUUAUGCUUUAAUUGUUUUAUUACUUUUUGGGUAUUUGUUUAUUCUCUGAAUUAGUUUCAUGAUUAUGUUUGUUAAUUAGGUAAUUGGCCACUAUUUAAUUAUCAACUUAAUCUAUUGUCAAUUAAAGGAUUCAUCGUAUGAAGAAUUUAAUGUUUGUGACAAAUAACAUAGCAGAGAGUUGUGUUGUGAGAAUAAACAAUCUAAUUUAAAUGAAUCAUCAUAUGUGUUGAUUAGGAUUUGAGUCUCUCUGGUUUUUCAGGCUGUCAAUUGAUUAAAUCCUAUGAUCGUAUCUAGGGUUGUCCAUUGAUUAGGGAAAUAACCAACGGUCGUACCUUGGUUAUCGACUAGUUAAGGAGAGAUUGGCUAUUAGAGGGUCUCAAUAGCUAUAACUGAUCUAUUCAUAAGUAAUAAUAAUCUAUAUUUGAAUCAAUGAUUAGUAGUUGAAUCAAGCUGAGUUAAUUCCUUCAACCAGAGCUUUCUCCAAUUUGAAUUACAACUUUAAUUUGUAUUCUUGUUAUUUUGAUUUGAUUUUUAUUAUUGUCAACAAUUCCCCCAUUUUACGUUUUACGUUUCAAAAGGAUUUAAAUAAUUACCGAUCUCUGUGGACACGACCCUGCUCAAUCACUAUACACAAUUUAUUUAGAGUAGGAAUUUAUUUUUGUUGGCUUCGACAACCAUCAGUUAUGCUGUAGAAUUGAUCAAUCGUGAAGAGAAUCGGCUGAACAUUUAGUAAAAUUUAUUUUUAAAAAUACUUUUAGUUAUAAAAGCAGUCGUAUGUGUUUCAUAAAUCUUAUUGUUAAACUGGUGCAAGAAUAUAAAUGAUUGAAUUGGACAUAAUGCUAAAUAAAAUUUAUUUACAAAUUUAUGAACAUGUAUAUAACAUAUUUUUAUUAUGUACAUAUAAUUAUUGAGAACUAAAAUAAAGAUUUUAUAUUAUUAAAUUUUAUUCUCUAUUUUGUUAUCUCAAUAUAAUUGGUAAUUAUAAUAAUUUUUUAAAGUUAACGAUUUAUUUCUUAAUUAAUAAAGAUAAUUUUUUUAUUAUAAAAUGAGGAUAUAUAUAUAGAAUUGGAUUACGUAUAAAAGUUAUUCUCAAAAUCAAAAUUUGAAAAACUAUUCUUUCCCUACUUUUUAAAAUCUACUGUAUGAUAAGAUGAUUUUGUCAAAAGUAAUUACUAAAAAAAUUUAUAAAACACUAAAAAUUAACUUUUAUUUUUUAAAAUCACUUUGAGCAUCCCAAAAACAAUCCUAAUGGACCUUCUGACCUUCAUUUGGGUGGUGUUGGAACUUGUAACUUUUGGAUCUUUUAGUUUUUAUUGGUUUGAUACAACUGUUACACUAAAAAUUAAAUGUAUCUUAAACCCCAAACUUCUUCUUCUUAUUCUUUUUUUAUUGCACAAAAUUAAAAACAAUAGUGAACACAUUCUUUAAUAAACAAUAAGUAAUAACUACAAUUGUGUUAAAGAAUUUAGUUGAUACAUAAAUUGAUUUCAAUGUUGUAUAUGCUAAAUUUCUUAAAAAUUUUCUUUCGCUAAAUACUUUUAUUAGUAUUUUGAAUAAAUAAAAAUAAUUGAUUUAAUUUUUUUAAAGAAACUUAUUAGGUUCAUGUAAAGAUUUUUUUUGUUAUUUUAAAAAGUGUACGAAGUAAAACUUACUUUUUAAAUGUAUUAGAUGUGUGCAUAAAAUAAUUAAGUGUUCAUAGUAAUUUUUAAAGUAUAGAUAGUCAGACCCUAAUAUUUUUCAUAUACGGGAAUUUUGCUAAUAUGUUAAUGAGAAUUAAAAUGAUAAUUAAGAGAGGCAUUUGAGACAUUCAAGAUAGUUAGGAUGGGACAUGAUUGUGAGGGGUUUGAGAUUGGUCCUAAUUUUGAUCACAAAUAUAUAAACAGGAGGAGUUUAUCCAUACUUACAUUCCAUUUGAUAAUUAAGAUGAGAGUGGAAUUUUCAAAUCCCAAAUCAUCCCGGACCAUUGCCACCAAAGGUACUCUCACUAAUAAUAUCUAAAGAAAAAUCUACAUCUGUUUCAUGCCUUUUUUUUUUUUUAUUUAAUGGAAGGAGCCCUCAUGGGGCUUGAAAUGGUAUCCUAAAUAAUAUUAAGAAUAUCAUGUCAUGAUUGGUUUCGUGACAAACAAAUAUCACAUGGUUGGGAUACAUAGUUACUAGUGUCCCAAUUUAUGUAGUAUUUAUCAUUUAGUGCACAUACAAAGUAUUAAUCAGCUUAACUAAUUUAUAAAAUUUAAAUCUAAUUAAUAAGUGACGCAUAAAUGCCAAGUGCAUUAUAUGCAAAUCAUGUUGUCGAUCACUACAAAUCUGGCUCUUGAAAACAAGAAAGGAAGCUUAAUUAAGAACUUAAAACAAAAAGAAUUAGAUUGAUAACAAUCAAGCCUUAUUUUUUCAAGGAUGGAGCUUAUAAAUCUUCAAGUACCAACAUAUGCUUGGCCCAAUUGUUGUUAUUAAAAUUUCAAUAUAUAUAUAUAUAUAUAUAUAUAUAUAUAAGUAUGACAUAGCAACAAUUUGAUGGUACAUAUGUCGGAUUAUUGUUUGAUUAUUGUUUCCAUAAAUUUGAACCAGGAAGGGUGAUACGAUAAAAUUUGAUUUUAUUGUAUGGUUGAUUUCAUAUCUCAUGCACUCAUUUCUUACGAUAAUCAAAUUUUCUCUAGCAUCUUUUGCAACUGUGGAUAUAUCAAUUAUGAUCAAUAAAAAUGAUUUCAAAAUCUUUCAACGAGACAUAUUUAUAAUACAAUAUUGUUAAAAUUACACCAAAAAUUUAAUUUAUUAUAUAUUAUUAUCCAAUGAGCACACAAAAAUGAAUUCGUACAAAUCUAAAAUACUUGGCAAUUUUCAAAUAGAAUUUACUAAGUAAUGCAAGAGAAUAGGGUAUAUGUGACCCCUAAUGUGAAUGCAAAAGCAACCCUUGCGUAUAUCACUAACUUCUAACUUUGUAACCCCGAGUUGCUUUUGUUACCCUUUAUGUCACGGCUACACUGUUAUCACAUAUGUUCCUAACUAGGGAUGGCAGAAAUUCUCAUGGGGUGGCCUCUCAGGAAUUUUUUUCAUUUGAGGAGGGUAUGUGGACGAUUUUAUACAUAAUUUCUUAUUCGGGGAAGGGAUGAGAAUGAUUUUUUACCCAAUUUCUUUUUCAGGAAAGGGACGGGGAUGAGCCUGAAUCCCCAUCCCCUCCUUAAUUCCCCAUUUUUCCAAUUUGAUUUUUAAUUCUAAUUUUAAUUUUUAGAAAUAGUAAUGAAUAAAUUAUAAAUUAUAAAUUAUAAAAUAUUAAAUAUUAGUAUAAAUAACAAAUAUAAAAAUAUUUAUACAAAUAUACUAUGAAAUUUUCAGACCCAACUAACAAAUUGGAGUUCUAUAUUACUAUUUGAUUAGGUCUUAUUUAAAAGGCCUUUGUCUAAAUUUUUUUAUUUUUAACUUUUAUCUAAUAAAACAAAAAUUAUACUAAAAACUAAAGGUAUAAUAUUCAAACUUUACCAAUAUAUAUUGUCAAAUUUUAUUUUUAUUUAAAUUUUUUAUUUUAAUAAAUUAAAUCAAAUUUAUAAACCAAAAUAUAUUAGUUAUUUAAGGAUUUUUUGGGAUCGAGAAUAUUAAGAUCCCUUUUUAUUAUUUAGGAAAUGAAUAAGAAUUCUUUUAAAAAUACUGAUGGAGACGAAAAAAGGAUAGAGACAUACGGGAUAUCAGUCACCUCCCCUACCCCAUUAUCAUCCCUAUUACUAACCACAAGACCGUAAAGAGCCGUUCGGUAUACUAUUCUAUUUGAAAAUUGCUGAGUAUUCCAGUUAGAAAACUGUUCGCUGGACUGCGUGUUACCAGCCACCAUCGCAAACCUAACUGGUUGCCGGCGAACGGCGUAAAACACAGGCCAUCUUCUUCAUCGUAUUCUCCCUUUAUCUUUUGAGGUAAGCUUGUGAUUAUGAGUCUCUUCUCUUACUUAGCGUGUAAUUAUAGAUUUUGAUUUUUUUUUAAUUCGUAUUGUAACCGUUUUGUCAAUUUGUGUCCCGCCAGCAAUAUUUUUUUAUUCUUACAAGUUGAAGCCCCCGUGUUCUUGUUCCAUUGGUGAGUUUGCUCACUCAAAUUAAUUUUUUUCUGCGGAAUUUACAAUGUUCAAAUGGAUUCAUUUGAAUUACUAUUGAAUUUAGCUUUAAUUUCAAUAUCCAUUCUAAUGUUUUGCUAUUAGAUUUACUUUAAUUUUAUGUUUAAAGCUUCUACAGUGAAUAGCGGAGCUUGGGUUUUAGUUUCAUUUUCUAGAUAACUUGUUUUAGUUUAUCUUGCAUGCUCACCAAGUGCUUGUUAUAUUGUCUGAUAAGUUAUAUACAUUGCUGAUUCUAUAUUAAUAGUGUUAUGUUCUAUUUUCAGAAAUUAUAAUACAAAAGUUUUUACAGUGGCGUGCAUCUACAAACUGAAUUGACUGGUAGAAUAAGAGCUUGGAGUAGUGUUAUGUUCUUGAAUAAAUGAAAGUUCAUAAUGUGUAAGAGCAUGUAGAUGUAAGGCAUCGUUACCAUUUCUGCAAAGUGCUUUCAUUCUGUUCGGAUUCUCUUCUUGAACUUUGAAAGGUGCCUCGUUCAAGUCCUGGCUAUAACUACUAGCUUUGACUAAUUAAGUUCCUAUACUAGCUGAAACAGAUUUAAUUAAUUAAUUAAUUAUGUAUGUACUAAUUAUAUUGAAAGUAUAUGAAUUUUUUUUUUUUUAACAUGAAUGACUUCUAAAUGACUUAAAAACCUAAAGGAUAUGUGAAAUAAUGCUCAUUUCACUUGAAUGAGCGUAUUACUACUUUUAUGUCUAUGAUUGUCAAUAUUGGCAUAAGCAUUUCAGUUAAGUGUUUUACCUAACAGAGAAAAAAAUUUAAUAGAAAACUUCAGAGUUCUAACACAAAUAUAGUUCACCAUGCAGAUAUAGUUAUUUUACAGAAUAGAAUUCAAGUUGUCCUAAUCUUAAUGUCCUAUGACCGAUUUUAUUUGAUAUGGUCAUUAGUGUUUGCCAUGGUUUUUUGUGUUUAUGAGUAUGAAAUAGUGGGAUUUGGUGUACCUUAGCAUCUUUUGGAAAUUCUCUUUAAGUGUGGCCAACAGAAAUAUACAUAUAAUCAAGUUUCUUAAUCCUAUAUAUUAGUUUUGGGUAUGAAUGUUCCUAUUCUAGUUCUAGGGAAAGCUUCUUCGUUUUGGUCUUCAGAUUUCCAGUAGAUUAAGUUAAUCAACUAUCAUAACUGGCUAGCUAGUUAUUGUCUGCCUUGGCGCCAUUACCCAGGCCAUUAUAUUGCAUAGCAUAAGGAAUAGUGAUUAGGUGAUUAUUAGUGAUUUGUUGAGCUUGUUAUUGGCCAAACAAACAUAUUCGCCUUUGCCCACAACUUAGUUUGAUUAGUUAUUAGACCACAAAGAGCCUUGAUCUAUUCAUUGGCUUUAUUAUUUUUAUGUGGUUUUUCUUUCAACAAUAUUGUUGAUUUCUUAUAAAAAUAUUCAUUGGUUUUUAAACACCUGAUCAUUGGCCAUACGAAGCUAAUUAAAACUGAGGCUUUGGAUCAAUUUCUUCUAACAAGAUACAAAUGAGUAUAACCUAUCUCCUCUAAGUAAAUUUUUUUAAUAUCCUUGAUUUGUAAGGAUCUGGAGGCCUGAAAUCCUCUAGAUUUUUUUUUAACACUGUCAAUGUUCUUUUUAUUCUGAAAAGGAAAUAAAAGGUUUUAUCUUUCAUGCCCUAAUAGUAAGCUGCCCUUGUCUUAACAUGGCUUCCCGAGGAUUUGCAAGAUUCAUGGUGCCCCCCCCCCCCCCCCCCCCAAACAAAAAAAAAAAACACACACACACACAAAUAGGAAGGAAGACUUGGGAAGAUUCACCACCAGUUUUUUUUUAAUUUAUUAAUUGUGUGUACGUACUAGUUAUAUGUUGAAAGAAUAGGGAGAAGUAUUUCAACAUGAAUGACUUAAAACUUAUUGCUCAGUAAACAUAAUCUGCAUCAGUGCGAAAAUGUAUUUAUCGUUUGUAUUUUUUAUGGUUUUGCUUAAGAAAUGAUAUGUGAAAUAAUGCUACAUUGUAUCAGGAAUAAAUUGAAGAAAUUUAUGAUAUUUAUGUGUUAUUCAAAUUUCAGAUUCAAUUUUAAACUUUUGAUACAUGCAUUGAAAGCUCAGACUUGUUUAAGAAAUUAUUAAUAGACACAUGUUUUAUUAGUGUCAUCUUUGGAUGAUAGUGAGGAUCAUACGUCUAUUAAUAAUUCUUGAAUUGUCCAGGCUUGGACAGUUUGGGAAUGCAUAGUUCUCUCUGGUAGCUAGUAGCUGAAAUUUUUUUCCCACAUAAAAAUGGGAUUUUGGUAGCUGCUCUCUCUGGGUACGUACUAGGUGAAUGGGUGUCAUGUGUUGUUUUGGCAUAACGCAUAAAUACUUAUAUAGCUAUGUCGUGUGCUUGGAGAAUUAUAGGAAGAUGGUGCCAAAAUUUUUAUAAACGUAGAAGAAAACUUUAGGUACCCGAGAAUGAAGAAACUUAUGCAUUCUUGAGUGGGAUAUGUAGGAUUACUUACCUUUUGUAAAUAUGAAUGGAAUGUUGGAUGAGGAUAGUGUAGGAGCUGAGUUGGAUGAAUGUAAUUGAUGAUUUUGCUGAGCUGACCUUGGUUUUGAGCUUGUAAUUUUGUUUGUAAAUGGAGUGCUAUCUCCAAUGUUGGUUUAUAAAAAUGUUUCAGGACUUGCUGACCUAACUUUUUGUUUCUAGGUUACAGGCUUUAUAUAUCUGUAAUUGAUGGCCAAGUGAAGUUCUCAGCACUUGGCGAGGAUAUUUCUUUACAGACGGUAUUGGAAACUGUUUUUUUACAUAAAUUAUUGUUGUAUGUGUACUUUGAUUUUCACAUCUUUUUCUCUGAUUCUUGUGGCUUUGCUUGCUUUCAUAUGUGUAAAUUCUAAUGAAAUUAACGAUAAAAUUGUAAAAUGAUCUUUUUUUUAUAUUGCGAAACUCUGCAAACACGAAAAUAUCUUGUUUAGUAGUAGAAAUGAAGAACUAAAAUGAUUUAUUUAACUAAAUUUUGUAGUGCAUUAAAAGGAGAAAGUCAUGGACAAGUGUUGGGUUGGUUUGCCAAAUAGAUAUCCAAGUCAUAUACUGAUGGGGUUGAAAAUUUUAUAGAUUUUGCAUUUGAGAAUGUUAUUGGUGGUACAAGAAUUUAUUGUCCUUUUAAGAAGUGUUGUAAUCUAUAUUUCGUUAUAAGGGAAGUGGCUGAUGAUGAUAUGGUUGGAAUGAUACCCUGCAUCACGUGCUUACACGCAGCAUUGUUAUGGACUAUCAGUGACUUUCUAGCAUUGGCAACUUGUCUGGGUGGAGUAUUAAAGGUAAAUAAACACGUCUUGUUUGCCAACAAAACACUAGAUCUAAUUGGUUGAUACAUAGUAGAAAAUUUUGUCACGUGGGUCACCGUCGAUUUUUACCAACAAAUCAUAGGUUUCGAAAAUAUAGUGUCUUUUGAUAAAACUAGAGAGUAGGGACCAGCACCUUCUCGGUUGUCUGGAACUGAAGUGAAAAAGCAGUUUAAUAUACUUACUGAGCAUACGAUUGAAGACUUGAAAAGAGGAGAACGAAUUAAAUGAGAGAAAUGAUAAGAUUACCUGGAAGAAGAACAGCAUUUUUUAUGAACUAACGUAUUGGUUUUUGAUAUCAUGAUCUUGAUAUCAGGCACUGCUUUGAUUUUUGUUAUGAACUCAGAUCAAAAGUUUAAUGUGAUCAAAACUUCUUAAAAAUAGUGACAACGACUCCUCCUAAUAACAUUGAAGAUGGCUAUAAAAGAUAAAAGGAAAGGAUUAAAAAGAAAAGCUACGCCUGUUUCAAAAAAAAAAAUGGCGGCAUCAAGUUUAUAACAAAAAUCAAAACGGUGCGUUUGAAAGUGUAUAAAAUACAUUUAGAGCGGGAGUUGCGUUGUUUCUUGAAGGCAGAAUGUUUGUGAGAUUUUUGUCGACGAAGCCAAAACCAAAGAUGAAGCCCAUAGAGCUCAAAACUCCACCGGAGCAAAUUCAGACAAUUACGAGGGUUAUAUUUGACAUAGUCAAGGAAGACGGUCCUCUCACCGUCGCCGAUUCUUGGGAACGCGUCAAGGUGUGUGUAUCUGUUAAAUUGAAUUUCAACCGUUUGGUCUGUAAUUAUAAUUAAUCCUAUCGAUCUGACAGUGAUGAUUGAUCAUAAUACUAGUAGUUGUUUUACAUUUUCAACAAGCUGGAGUGAGUGGAUUGACGGGCAAAAGCCACAUGAAGAUCGUGUAGAGAUGGAUGAGGGAGAGACAAAAGCUCAGGCUCGUCUGCAACCAUGUGGGCCCUCAUUAGCAACUCCUGUACACAGCUAGGCUUACCAAGCCCAACAACUUGAAGCAGGCAAAGUCAGGGAAUGACCCUUCCCCUUCACAACCCUAGCUGCCUUAACCUUGUAUCUCUGAUAUUUAGUUAAAGAGUAAGAAGAUUGCUCCUCUGUCAAUUACCUUUAAGAGAGACUUUCUUUCUCAUUCAUUGAUGCUUGCUUGUGAACGCAAGGGUUUUAGUUACACUUUCAACGCUGUCAAUGUAGUGACACGAUGAAGAUGAAGUAAAGCAGUAGUAGAAUAAUGAAGUUGGAAGCCCCACAGCAUGAAAACUUUUAAACAGUAACACAUCUUUUAUUCCAGAGGCUGCACACGAGUGACCUGAAUCUUCUUCAGAACUUUCAAAUUUUAUUAAGCAAAGCUUUCAAAAUUUCUCAACAAAUUGAUUAUUUGGUGUGGUUGCGGCAUUUUGAGUAACUGCGAUUUGUUCUCAAGUACAAAAUCCUUGCCUUCCUAAGUUAGAAAAGAUAGAUGUGAAGCAAACCAAAUGAAAUAAAUGGGUAAACAGAACAAACAGGGCGAAAAUUAAAAAUGAUGGCAAUUAACAAAUUAAUAGCAACGUUACAUUUGACUCUUUAGCCCUUUGUUCCUUCUCUUAGCAUUCUUCAAAGUUUUUGAAAAUUGGAAGUGAAGCAAACAAAAUAAAAUAAAUUUAGACAACACAUGCCCUGCAUUCAGCAUCAUAUAUAUCUCGAAGACUAGAAUUUCAAACAGUACUAGUAGUAAAAAAAUGACGACAACAACAAAAAUAGAAAAUUACAAGACUGCUGAUAAAAUUUCAUUUGCAUGCAUGUCUGACAAAAUUUCCGUGAUUUAAUGUGCCUUCAUGCACGCAAAUCCUAACGUUUCUGUGAUCACAAAAUGAAACUGGAGAUAAAUCAGAACACCUACCAAACCUUUGGCUGAAAAUUCAGAAGAAUUUAUAUUCAAGAUGUCAAAGUAAACUGGAAAUUUAUGGCACAUAUAGUUAAAUUUGCUAUAAAUUGCUUAUGAACAGCAAGCAGAGCAUAAAUCACAAAAGCUUUAUAAAAGAUAACGACUUGAAUAAAUGAUUACAAGCUCAGGUUCAUUUAUAUACGGAGAGAAGAAUAAAGAGACAGCAGGCCUAAGGGGUAAGAUUUGUAAAUGAACAAAUAACAACCCGUGAAUAUGACAAAUGUUAGCCAAUCAUUUUCAGCUUCUAGAAACGUAAUCCUUGCAUGCUAAUUUGCUGAGAUUCUUCAGUAGCUCCAUUUUGCCAGCUCAGUAAAUCUUCUGCACAUUCUGGAAACAAAUGAGUGUAGCUUGAGAUGGCAUGCCAGCUUGUCAUCAGAGUCAGCUGUUGAAUUCUCACAGCUGCUAUUUUCAUCACCCUCUCUCAAACACAAGGUCUUGUCAAAGACAUUGAGUUUGCUUCUGAAGUAGUCAAAUUUAUAGUAUGGCAGAGGCUUGGUUAGAACAUCUGCAGUUUGAUCCUUGCUGGCAACAUAAGUUAUUUCAAUUUCACCUUUCAUAACUUUAUCUCUGAUGAAGUGAAGGUCAAUCUCGAAAUAUUUGGUUCUCGAAUGGUAUAUAGGAUAUGUAAAAGCUUCUUGCCAAUAUUUCAAUGGCAUUUUAGCUUGAGCUAGCAGUGUGAGUCCAGUUUCCACAAUGUGUCUGUGUUUCCUCUCAACUUUGCCAUUUUGUUCAUGUAAGUAAGGGCAAGAAUGUCUUAGAGCUAUUCCCUCUCUUUUAAGAUAUGGUUCAAAGGCUUUGAAUCCCCCCCCCCCCCAUGUCAGUUUGCAGUGCUUUGAUUUUCAAGUUUAGUUGAUUUUCUAUUUGCCUUUUGAAAGCAAUGAAUGUGUCAAGAGCUUGAGAUUUUGUUGUUAUAGGGAAGAGCCAUGUGUAUCUGGUUCUGUCAUCAACAAAAGAUAUAUAAUAUCUAUAUCCUUUUGUUGAGGGGAUUGGUGCUGGUCCCUAUAAGUCUGUAUGGAUCAAUUCUAAGGUUGUUUUGGUUCUGGUCUCAAUGUUCUUGAAUUGCAUUUUUGAUUGCUUUCCAUAUUGGCAUGCACAACAAAAUGAAGGGAUGAUAUUUUUAUUUAUAGCAAAGUGUUUUUCAAAGCAAAUACAUUAGGAUGCCCUAGUCUAAGAUGCCAAAGAUCAAUCUCUUUUGUAGCUUUUGAAACACUGCUGUUUAAUUCAUCAGUUACACUAGACUCAUUAACACUGAAAGACUCAUUACUAUUAGAACUAAAGGACAACAUAGAUACUGGAUCACUAAUGGACCUUAUUGACACAGGUAUUAAAGAUGCUGAUAGGAAAGUAGUGUGUAAAUUUUUGCUUUUGCUCAAGUGAACAGGUAAGCAUAGCAGCUCAUACAGUCCCUCUCUAGCCACUCCUUUCAUCAGAAUUUUCCCUUGCUUCUUGUCCUUGACAAAACAGGCAAAUUUGUGAAACUCAACAUGAAUGUCAUUAUCAUGCAGCAAUCUGGAAAUGCUAAUAAGAUUCUUAGUAAUGUCAGGAACAUGCAACAUAUGGUUUAAUGUGAUGUGUUUUUUAGGGUUAAAAGUAGGUAAAACAGAACAGCCAAUAUGAGAUAUCACAAGUUUCUCACCAUUGCCAACAGCAAGUUGGUCAUUACCUUAAUACUCAGAGUUGAUGUUGAUAUUUCCAAGUGCAUUUGUGACAUGGUUAGUAGCACCACUGUCCAGAUACCAUGCUCCACUACUUUGCCCAUCAGUUGAGGCUACAUAGGCACCUCUUGUUUCUCUCCUUCUGUUUGGCUAGGGUACAAAAUUCUUCUUAAAUCUAUGCCAACACUCAGCAGCUGUAUGUCCCAUUUUCAAACAGAUUUGACAUGGCCCUUUGGAUUCUGAACCAUCAUCAUUUGCUAUUGCUUUGCCUUUUCCCUUAUCUUGAGGAUUUUGACUUCCCUGAUUGUUUCCAGUUCCACCACUAGGGUUUCUAAACACUAUUCCAGGUUGAUAUUGAUUUCCAGUUCUGUCAUUGUUACCCCAGUUUCUCCUUCCAUUUCUCAUUUGAUUGUAGUUUGCCUCAACAGCCCCUGAACUUAAAUUUUGUUCAGUUCUGUUCUCUUGGUUGAGCAGCAUGCCAUACACUUCUGAGAGUGAGGGGCUCUCUGGCAUAGAGUUUAUGUUGGUGACUAUUGAGUCGUAUUUAGCCCCUAGUCCAGCCAACACACACAUGACAAAGUCGUCAUCACUCAUGUGGUUACCUACUGCUCUAAGCUGAUUCAACAUGGACUUCAUUCUAGAGUAGUAGUCAUGGAUGUUGAGUGAACCCUUUUUGGUUGUUUGGAUUUGGGUUCUGAGGUGUAAUAUCCUGGCUCUAGUUCUAGCACCAAAUUGGUUUGUGAGAUUUGUCCAAACCUCAUACGAAGUAUAAUAAUCAAUCACUGUGCCUAGAACCCCUUCACUCAGGGAUGACAGUAACCAACUUAGUAAAAUGUGGUCUUGCUUUUUCCAGAUUUGAUGCUCAAGGUUAGGUGUAUUUAUGGUGGUUCCAUUUGGUCCUGGGUUUGUGAAAUGUCUUGGAGGGCAGACAUGGCUGCCAUCAACAAAACAUUCAAGCUCAUUAGCCCUGAUGCUAGAGAUCACUUGUGAUCUCCAGAGCAUAAAAUUGUUUUGGGUGAGCUUCAUGGGAGUUGUAAAGACAUAUGUGUUGCUAGUAAUGUGUUGUGUGGGUGAGUGAUUAAUUACUGCUGAGUUUGUGGCAUUGUGCCUUGAGUUUUGAUUUUGAUUCUCGUUAUCUUCUUGGUUAUUUGGAUUCAUUUGUGACUGAUUCGUGUUUGUGUGUGUGUUGCUGCUGCUGCUUGCCAUAGCUCAAACUUGCUUUGAUACCAAGUUAAAUUUGCUAUAAAUUGCUUAUGAACAGAAAGCGGAGCAUAAAUCACAAAAGCUUUAUAAAAGAUAACGACUUGAAUAAAUGAUUACAAGCAUAGGUUCAUUUAUACACAGAGAGAAGAAUAAAGAGACAGCUGGCCUAGGGGGUAAGAUUUGUAAAUGAACAAAUAACAACCUGUGAAUAUGACAAAUGUUAGCCAAUCAUUUUCAGCUUCUAGAAACGUAAUCCUUGCAUGCUUAUUUGCUUAGAUUCUUCAGUAGCUCCAUUUUGCCAGCUCAGUAAAUCUUCUGCACAUUCUGGAAACAAAUGAGUGUAGCUGAGAUGGCAUGCCAGCUUGUCAUCAGAGUCAGCUGUUGAAUUCUCACAGUUGCUAUUUUCAACACAUAUUACAAGAAGCAGUACACACCAAUGGUAAAUUGAUUCAUCGUCUUUGAACUUAAGAUAGUAAAAUGAAAGAAACACAACGGAGGGUUAAUGUAAUACAGUAAAGUGAAAACCCUCAGCAUGUAAACUUAACUUCAAAGGACGGAGCACAAGUUUUACAGAAAAGUAGCUCUUAUUCCUGAUGCUGCAAACACAGAGGAGUGUUCUCAAUCUUCUUCAUAACUUGGGAAUUCUGCAAUUAUAGAGCACGACAUUGAGCAUGAACUAAAAAAUAAUAAUAAAUUUAUUUUCUACAAUUUUCAUGUAACCUGACUACCCAAGAUUAAUUUUGUGGUAAUGGAUUGGGUCAUUAAUUCAUAUGUUUUUACAGUCAUCACUUUAGAAAAAAAACUAAUUUCUCAAUGUGAAAUAACCCAUAAAAAGUAUUCUCAUUUAAAAACUAAAUUUGACGGACCCCUCGAUUAAAGCAGGGCAAAAAAAAAAAAGAGAUCUGAAGGCUUUCCACAUGAAAAUGUUGUCACUUUGAAUGAUAUUUUCAAAGGAUUUCAUUCUAAAAAUUAAAUACCUUAUUCUUCAAAUUGACAGCUCACCAAGUACUAAAGGCGUAUGAGAUCAGUACUGCGACGAGUAAGGAGACGAACCCUCCAACAGCUGAAAAUAAAAUUUGCAUUCAUCAAUUUAAAUUAAAAUUCAUAUUAUGAAAUCAAAACUAAUGAUUAAUGAAUUUUCAAGGAAUUUAAUAAGAUUCUCAUAUAAAAACGGGAUAUAAAAUUCUCUCAUCAAUAACAAAUAUUCUAAGUUACUCGUACCUUUUCUUUCUGUAAUUGUUGUAUGGUUGUGUUAAGGUCAUUAUUAGACCAACGCAGUUUGUCCUCACUCCUUCCGUACCAGACGUUUACUCUCGGAGGCGUGGUUGAUUCUCCUUUGGUGAAAAUCUUCAUCUUGGGACAACCAAUCACCGACAAAUCUUGCAAAGAUGGGAAUUUGAAGGUGUAAUUGGCAGAGGAGAAGCUUGUGAGACUAUCUAAAUCAUACAGGGACAAUGUAAUCAAUUUGCUGAAAACAAUCUCUUCUUUUAUAUUUGCUGUUUCAUAUUCGUCACAUACUACGACUUCUGUCAUUGCUGUGCAUCCAAAUACCUUCAAUGAUAAGAGUCGCUCCAGACUUUUUGCUGUGGAGCAUGUUCCUAAGUUCAUCAAUUUCUUGCAAGCAAAAGCUUGCAGGCGUGUGAGAUUCCGGAAAGAUACCGAUGAUGAUGGCAAUAGACUUAACAGAUUUUGACAGUGAUAUGCUCUUAUAAUUUCAAGAUGUUGAAAAAUGAAGUUCAGCUGUUUGGAGUCAUGUUUCCACAGUUGCUGCAGACGAUUUAGUCUGGUCAGGUCUAACAUUUUUAUCAGUGCCAACUUCCUCCCAUGUUUCUCCAAAUAUCCUUCAUUUGAAAAUACCACUUCAUACGAACAAUCCGACAGGAAGAGAAGUUCCAGAUUGUUAAACCUCUCAAGUAAACCAAGUUGAAAGCAAGCUAAGUCAUCAUCCCCAACCUGUUGUACUUUAAGACUGCCAAAGAGGUGUUGUGGGAAAUCGCCUUGCAAAAUCAUCGUGAUGUCUUUUCCACUUAAUGCCAGUUCCUCCAAGUUGGGUAAGAUCUGAUCAUCAUCGAGCUCAAAUUAUUAACUCAGCACAUUGAUCCAUAAUUCAAGACUGGCAAAAUUCAUUGUGUAAUCAAAGUUUUCAAUGAUUAUAUAUAUAUAUAUAUAUAUAUAUAUGUAUGUAUGUAUGUAUGUAUAUUUCUUCUCUAGUGCGGACGUUCUCAUUUUCUUUUUCAUGCGGACCAGUUUUUAGACCCCAUGAUUUAAAAGAGUUAGUUUUUAACUCUCUAAAACCGCAUGACUUCAUAAUUCAUUUAAAAAUAACUCUUUUAAACCGCACGGUUUAAAAGCGUGUCUAUAUUAAAAAAAAUGCGAACCCCCACACUUGAAAAUGAUUAUAUAGACAUACACGCUCUUAAACCGUGGGACUUGAAAGCUUCUCCGCAUGAAAAAAGGAAAAAAUGAGAGCAUUUCCACUAGAAAAAAACUCCAUAUAGGUAUUUAUUAAACUUCCUAAUCUGUGAGUGAGGAACAACAAAGAUAAUUGAUAAAAAAAAAUCUAAAAUUUGGUUUCAUACCUUCUUGAACGAGAGCAGGGGUUGUUGUGCCGGAAUACCAAAUUGAUCAUUCUCGUUAUUCUGGGACAACGUUAUUUUAUCACAAUUACAGGCCUCCAAUUUUUUUAGUGCUGGCCAUUCUGAAGUAUGCAUUCCAGGGUAUAAACAUCUGAGUUCUGGUAGACCUUCGAGAUUCAGAGUGGUCACUUGUGGAAAGACAAAAUAUGGGGUCACUUGAUAUGCUCUGUCUUUGGAGAUGAUCUCUUGUAAACCCAUACAUAUCCGUAUCUCCAGGUGUUGGAGGUGCUUAAGGCUUUGGAUCAUAGAAGCUGAAAAUAUGUAUUUUAAUUUGUCACAGCCCCACACUAUCAAUCGUGUCAAACUUUGAAAGCAAGUAAUCAUGGCCGUAAGUUGAUUGUCAUGCCAAAUCUCGUCGACAUUAAUAGCAUUCAGCUCCAAAGCCUCCAAAUUUGGCAACACUACCUAAAGAUAAUUUUCUCUUUAGAUCCAAUAUCCGUAUGAAAAGCACUUGUUUUGACACAAUAUCCAUAUGAGAAGCACUUAAUUAAGAGCUUAAUUAGCGAGUGUAUGAGACUCUUUUUUUUUUCAAAUGCGGGUGCAUGAUAGAACUGAAAAAAAAAAAAAAAAGAAGCAUUAGCCUACGUACCUUCUCGUUGAAAAGCAGAGUUGACGUUUUCGAACUGAUCUCGUUGGAACUGGCUGUCAAUUCCUCUUGCGACUCUUGUCUGUUUGGUGAUGUGGAAGGAGUCUUCACUUCACCGCAAAACCUUGUAACCUUUGGAAGCUUUCCCAGACUCAAAGAUCUUAAUUGACCAAACUCUAUCUUCUCAUCAACAUCAAAAUCAGCUUCUCCUCCAGUUGCAAAAAUCUCUUCCAUGCCGCUGCAAUUGAUAACUGCAAUCCUCUCCAGUCUUGGAAGGCAUUUUGUACUACUAGAGAGCCAGAAGAUAUUACUCAACUCAUCACAAUUUUCUACUUUUAUGGUUUUGAGUUCAUUGAAGGACUCUAUUUUGAGUCGAUCAAUACAUAUCCUCUCCGUAUUGAUCAAAUUGUGAAGAGUAAGGGACUCCAAAAGAGGAAAGGCGACACAAGGUUCUCUCUUCAUUGAAUCGACGAUACACAGGAUGUCUGGAUUAUUUUGAACAUGGAGAUGCUUCAAUUGUGAAAAUCCCUCAGUGUCCAAUUCUAAAACAACAUUCUUGAUUCCUUGCAACUUAUCCAAACAUAAGUAUUCAACGUUAUUUAUUCCCUGCAACUUCUUGGAGGAAAUGGCCAUAGAAUCAAGCUUGAGCUUCAAUGUUCUUAAACUCUCAAGAUUACUGAUCAUAAACUGCGGCCGACUUUGAAACCAGUCUUUCCAAAUAACCUUGGUAGAGUCGAAAGAUCCAUCUCCUAUUGAUAUAUCAAACCUUUCCAGCUUUUUGGUAAAAAAGCCAUCUGGUAAAAUGCUAUCAUCUUUAACAUCUAUUUUUAAGGCGGUCAGUCGCUGCAAAUGCAUCAAUUCAUCGAGGCUGGCAUUACUUCUUUCACAGUUGGCUUUUCUCACUUCCCAUUCAAUAGAGCAGUUACUCAUAUACAGUUCUUCCAAUCGAGUGAAGCUUGAUAAGAUAUUGGGCACAAUAAAUUUUAGUUGCAAGCAAUCUGUUAAAUCUAGCAUCCUUAACUUAGUCAGUUGACCUAGUUCGUCAUGCAACCGUACAAUAUCAGACUUUAAAAAGCUAAGGAUUUCUAGAUUCUUCAACUUUCCAACUAUGGCUAUGUCUCCCAACAUGCUUUGAUCAAGACAGAGUGUUUGAAGAUUUGCUAGAAGACCGAUUGAUGAUGGCAAUGAAAAUAAUCGCACUCUUGUCAAAUCUACGACUCGAAGCUUUUUCAUCCCGUUGAAAAAGUUGUCAGGAAUAUUGACCUCGACAAAAGAGUCUUCGGGAUCAAUAUGUAAAAAUUCAAGUUCCUCGGAAACUUCAUGAAUGCUACUACUUAGUAAAGAGAUUGCAUAGCAUUUUUUAAGUGCAUCCUCAUCUGGCCACUCCCACGCAGCGUCAUUUCUCACCAAGAAAGCAUGCUGGUCUCGACAUGCAAUUGAUAUGGCAACAUCGCAGACAACAUCAUGCAUAGAGAAUUGUUCAGUACUAUCACCCUCAAGCAACAAACAACAGUCUCUAAGUUCAUGGACCAGUGCAUAUAAUUUGUUUCGUGCAUCUUCCAUCUUAUUGACUCCAUGAAAUAUGCCUAAACCCAUAGAGUAUUUAAGCAAGUCUAAAAGACAAAAACUGUUGCCUAUUAGACUGCAGAGCAGAAAAAUUUUCUUGAGUUGCUCACCUUUUAAAUACUUGAAACUCAGUUCAAUACUUGAAUAAGUCUCUGAAGGCACACCUUCGAAGUUUACCACUGAAGGCGUUUGGAGUUCUCGCAAGGCAUUCUUCCACUCAUGCAGACUCUUGUUUCUCAGUGCCCUUGCUACUGUAGUCAGGGCAAUGGGCAAACCUCCACAUGCCUGGUCUACAUUAAUUGCUGUAGACUUGAACUUACAUUUUUCAACAUCAUCACCAUUCAUUAUCUUAAACAAUCUCCAAGCUUCUUCUUCAUUUAGAUUGCCAAUCAAGAAGUUAUCUUUGGAGCCCAUACUUAAUAGUACAUUAUUGUCUCUUGCUGUCAGCAGUAGUCUACAUCCUUUAUGAUCAUUUCCGAAGGGAAUUCCAACCGUCUCCAAAUCAACAUGUUUCCAGAUAUUAUCUAGAAUCACAAGAAUCUUAUUCUCAUUCUUCAGUCGUUCAUACAGCCUGCUAGCUCUUCUAUAUUCAGCUUCAUCGGACAACUCCAGACCUAACUUCUCUGCAAUUUCCCCUUGAAUCUUUUUUAUCUCUGGAGUUUAUGAAACCUCUGAUAAAACCACCCGAUAAAACAGCUUCUUUUCCCUGGCUUGCCUAGCAAACUCCUUCACCAGUGUGGUCUUUCCAAUGCCACCUAUGCCGUACACCCCAAUAAUGCUGACAUUCGCCUCCGUCAAUGCAUUUUUUAUAGACUACAAAGUAGAAAGUCUUGAUUUGAAGGCCUCGUAACCAUUGCUAGACUUAAGCCGUAUCUGCUCCCGAAUGGUACGGUGGGAAACAGUAUCAAACUUCUUAACUUCUUCUCCAAGUUCAAUAAUGGCCUUCACCUCCGUCUCUGCUUUCUUGCUAAGCUGAUAGCGACUCUUCCAAAUAGGACUCAAGCCCUUGACACAGCGCUUAUUCGUUGACUCCUCAUCUUCAAUGAAUUUGGCUGCCCGCAAUGAUGCCGUUCGCACUUCGCACUAACCAGCCACUUUUCAACCUUCUCUUCAAUCUCUUCCCCUUUUUCUUUCGCCUCUGAAACUCUGCGCUGAAUGCUCGUACGUUCAACCUUCAACUUCUCCAUUUCCGCCUUGAUAUUCUCAAAGUUGGCAUUGUAGUUCCGCUUUCGCAAAUAAACAAGUUGGCGUGCAGUUGGAGGAGCCAAGCAUUUUACAAGUUCCAAGACGAUAGUCACAAUGAUUUCCAGCAUCUCGAAGCCUGACAAAAACGUAGAAGCGAAGAAGGCCAAAGGAAAGUAAAAACAAAGAGACAGCGAUAGGACAAGCAAUUGUGUUUUUCAGAUGAGAUGAAGGAAACAAGAAAAGGGUUUCUAUCACGACGUAAAGAGCUAAAAGAGCUGAUGGGUACAGAAUAAGAAAUGAGACUGAGGAGUGAGCAAAGCUAAAUAAUAACAGAACAAGAACAAUGACGAAUAGAAUAAACAGUAGCAAAGAGCCAUUUAGAUGAUUAGAAUGAAACUAAGCGACUGGAAAGAGUGGAUGGUAGACUAAACAGAAAGUGAUUGAUUAUUUUAGGAGGCCAAUUAACGUAAUGACAGAUCCGGUUUCGAUGUUUGUAAUUUGAGUAUGAGGUAAAUCGAUUCUUUGUCGAGCCAGUCAAAUACAAAGGCAAAUUAGUAAAACACGAGCCAGCAACUUUUACUCACACAAAAGCCAAUAAUAUAGCAUUAUCUCUAGCUCUGUAUUUUUCAAAAAAAAAUUAUUCAAAAGAUGUCUGUCAUUAAUUCUUCAAUGAUUAAAAUUAUAAUUUUUGUUUAAUAUAUAUAACGUAAAAUUUUAAAAGAAUCAGACAUGCAUUAGGGUAAAAAUAAAAAAUAUGGAGGUAGCUUUUAACUAAGUAAUUGGCUCAACUAUGGAUCAGUGUGACAUUUUAGUAUUAAGCAAACGGAACUUUUUUUAAAUUAAAUUAAUCUCAAAGUGAUAGGCUUCUCAUGAAUCAUGUAAUGUUGUCGUUUUUAAAGACUUGACAUUUUGGGGUAAUCAGAAUUAACAAUGCACAUCACUUGUUUGUCACAAUGUCCAAAUAAAUAAUUUUUAAAAAAAGUUAUUUUCAUUCUUUCUUUUCAGGUAUCCUAAUUCCUUUCGCAGUUUGAUUCCUCUUUUCCUGAAUUUUGUUCCUUCCAUUAAACUAAUAAUUUAUUUAAGGAUAGUUAAGCAUCAGCCCCCAAUUGUUCAGUAUUUCACACAGCGCACCCACAUCUUUUGACCAUGUGCACCUCCCCCUAUUUCUAUUAAAAAAUCAACUAAUCUAACUAUUUAGGCUGUUAUAAAUUUAAAAGACUAUACUACCCCUAUUUUGAAAUGAAUUGGGUAUAUAAGUACUAAAAUACCCUUACAACUAAUAAAAUUUAAAUCAAAAAGUAAAAAUUAAUUAUAAUAUUUUUAAAAUUAUAUGGAAACAAUUUUUUUCCGGAUUAGGAACCCAAGAUUAUAAUCUAGUCAAUUACAAAAUCAAAGGCAAAGCAUGAUUCCAAUGUGAAAGAAAAAAAUCAAACACACAUUCAUCAGUACAUUACAAAAUAAGUCCAAUAAUCCCACCAAAAUAAAUAAAACCCAAUAGAAAGAAACCCUAAACUAAUGAUACCAAAAUCCCUGAGAGCAAAUUUCAUUGUAAAAUUCUACUACAAAAUAAAUUCAUACUAAGAAAAUUCGAUAAAAAGUAUUUUUAUUAAUUAAUUAACAAUUAGUUUCAUCAUUAGACGGUACUAUGAUAGUUUUGUCACUAUGUUUGUUACCAUCUCUCAAAAAAAAAAUAAUUAUUUUUUACAUGUCGAAUUGUGUAACAACGAUUUAAUGAAAAAUUAGAAAACAGCACGACAUCUCGUGGCUUAACAUGGUAAUCAUGAAUAUCCCUUAUUUUUAAAAAAUGAACAUACAAACUCUUUUUUAAUGCAUGUAGACCUUUUUUUGUAUUUAAAAAUAGUUACACAGAUCCUGAAUUGGUGUGUUCCUCAAUAAAUUUUCAUGAUCCUUUUUUAAAAUAAGGGAUUUUUGUGAUUAUUUUGCCACGUCCAAGGAUGCCGCUGUUCUUGUCACCAAAAAUUAUUCUCAUAAGAGUAAUGAUUAAUUGGACGUCAGCAAUGAGGGCACGUAAUGAAAAAUUUUUGUUUUGCAUGGGAUCCAAUAAUUUUAAUUAACAUGGUGGUGACAGACCCAGCUGGAAAAUCAACUGAUUUUAGAAUUCUGUUGAAAAUUCUUUAAAUGAUCACUAUAUCUCUAGUUCGAUUAUAUCCUUAAGCUCAUUGAUUCUUUUGUAUUGAUUUUGUUACUUCUUUUCUAAGUACUUAUAUUUAAGCAUUGAAAUAGGAUUGAAUAGACAAAGACGAUUACUUGAGCUGAAAAUUUUUCAAGUAUGGCGGAGGGGAAAGUGAGAGAGCCGCUAUUGAAGAAGAAAUAUUAUAAGAACUGCUCAGGCUGUAAGGUUGAUAAUUUAAGUCGGAACGAGGCUUACCAAUUCGUAAGCUUUUAAUUAUUUGGAUUGUUGUGCUUGCAACUGGUAAAUUUUUCAACUUCAACUCGAUAUAAUGAUUUUGGAGAGAACCAUUUACAAUGAUUUUCAAUUCUUUUGUGAUUUUUUUUUUCCGUUUUGCCGGUCGCAUCUUUCUUUCCCUUCCUUUAUUUUAUGGUGAGUGGAUUAUUAUUGCCUUCAGCGUAGUGGUUAUUAGUAAGAAAAUUUAUAUUUUCCUAUCAUGCUUGGUGAUUUUCUGAGAAAUAUAAGAAAAGACAAGUUUUAUAUGUCAAAUAAUUCAUUGCUUUUUCACAGCAGUCAUUUAUGAUUUCUUUUCAGUUUAGGGAUUUUCACAUUGCGAAAAAGGAUCAAGAUAUUGGAUUCUAUGCUGGUUACGUGGGUGAGUUAUUCUAUGUUUUUUUAUUGUAUUUAAUAAAUGACACACAGUAUGGAGUCUGUCUCGGGUACGAAUGUCCGCACCUUAUAAAGUGCUGACUCACGCCUUUACAACUCUGGGAAGACAUUCUACCGAGACUUUACAUCACUGUAAACGCACUGUACAAGAGCUUUACAAUGCGGACCCGCGUCUUUACAACUUUAAAGGGCCAAGUCCAUGCUUUAAAAAGUACAUAUGUUCGCACCUGGAAACGAUUUACAUAUGUAUGUAUAUAUGUAUAUAUGUGUGUAUGUGUGUAUAUAUAUGUAUGUAUGUAUGUGUGUGUGUGUGUGUAUGUAUGUACGACCAAUAAAACAGUUCAAAUUCCUCAAGAAGUUAUCCUAACAAACAUCUUAAUACCUUGAUGAAAUUGAAGGGUCUUCAUACAUGCUUGGCAGAGCUCUAACAUCUGUUUUGUGGGGAAUGGUGGCUGACCACCGUGGUCGAAAGCCUGUAAUAAUAAUAGGAAGCAUCACAGUGUUAGUGACUUCUAUUUUCAUAUGAUCAAGCUUGAAAUUGAUGAUACUUCGGCAAUUUCUGGAUUUCUUGUCUGUCUUAAAAUGCUCACAGGGUUAUUUUUAACACUCUUUUUGGGCUUAGUGUGAAUUUCUGGAUGGCCAUAGCUACAAGGUUUCUCCUUGGGGCUUUGAAUGGUUUCCUUGGACCAAUAAAGGUAUUGAUUGGGGGUAUUUGUUGAUAAUUCCAAUUUAAUUCCUGCAAAUAAUUGUGCUCAAACUUCUCUUACACCACGAGGCAUAUGCAUGUGAAAUAUUGUGCGAUCAGCACCAAACUUAUUACGAAACUAAAAAUGUUACUUGUUUUCUGUACUUGCUUUCGCAUGCAUCACCCCCACAAAACUGCUUGACGAUUGUCCUCAUUUUGAACUUACUAUAGGUUUCAGUCUCCUUGUUUUUCAACUUACUCUGUACCCUUAAGGAUUAUUGGGCCAAUAAUCAUAACACGAAUUGCAGGGGGUAAAAUUUUGAGCACCUCAUGCGGCAUUUGGACCAUUUGAUAGUUUGUUUGAAACAUAUCUGUUUAUAAAAUACUUUUCUUCAUGGUUUUGGUCCCAUAACUUUCUAUGUAUGUACAGGUUUUAUCGAUACCGCUUUUGACAAGUUACACUUACAUAGCAAUGUUAUCGGGUUCAGCCUUGCCUUUUUGAUAAACUGUGCUUCUGUGAUGAAGAAUGUUUUAUCUGUAAGUGGAUAUCCUAAUCAUUGAUCCAUAUACUUAGGUUAUAUUAUCCACCAGCAAGUAUGUAUAAAUUAUUUUAUGUCUUAUUUAUUAGAAUUGUUGUAAUUCUUUUUUACUUUUCCUGAAUUGUAACAUCAGGUGUCUAUAAUAACUGGAUUGUUCCUUCUGCAAAACAGAGCAGUGGUAAAUAUAUUUUCUUUUGUUUGUUUAGUACAUUUCCAUGCUUUCAGCUUUUUCAAAUUUUGUAUGUGCCAAAGUUUAAAUUAAUUGGUUGGUUUAUGGUAUAAUAACAGGUACGAUAAUUUACUAAUGAAAUUUCUCACUAGUUUGUGAAUUACUUGGUGCUAAUCAGAUUAGUUAGCUGCUUAAACUAAAGUGCAGGUAACCAGGUGAUUUUUUUCAUCCUGAAUUCGGUGGAGGCACUUGGAGUAAUAUUGACAUUCAAACCGUUUCUAACUCAACGUGCCCCGUGAGUGGAGAAAAGAUGCGUCUGUUGAAAUAUUCAAAUAUAUGUCAAGCAAAUUAAAGCUUUCAAAAUCUUUCAACAAUUUGAUUGUUUGAUGUGGUUGCCACUUGCCAUAUUUUGUGUUACUUUUCUAAAGGCUUAAAUAUGAAAAUGGUUGUUGGUGCUCACGCCAAUUGAUUGCUGGUAACAUUAAUUGUGCAGUACUUGUCAGAACUACCACAAUUUAUCUUCACAAUGAUGCUAGAUAGAAAGAAAAUUUCAUGUUAAGUAAAAUAUUGAAGCCAUAAAGAGUCUUAUUCCAGAGCCUUAUUAAGUACUGAGUUUUCUGCCAUGCUUUCAAAGUUACAAAUUCGAAGCUUGGGAUUCUGUAACAAUGGAGGAUAAAAAUUAUAUAAGAAUAUUAUUUUGUACAAUUUUCAUACCCAGACAGAAGCGAGCAUUAUUUUUUGAUCAUAACUCAGAUCAAAAGACCUUCAAUGAUGUAUAAUAUGCACAAAAAGCUAGCUCAGAACCAGACAUUAGAACUUAUGAUGAAAGGGAAACAUAGAUGUUGAGAUUGAAAACAUAGAGAAAUUUUUUUAAAAAGUCUGAAAUUUUAUUACUAGAAGUUUGAAUAACAAAAUUAGGGUAUUGGACCCUUUUUAUACAAAUUCUAAAUAUUAUGUAUUUAUCAAAACAGGCAAACUUGAAAUAUUAUUACAUAAUAACGUUCUCCUAACUGAAAUAAGAAAAAUAAAAUAAAUCAUACUUGAAAUCUUAUAUUUAGAGAAAAACAUAUCGUACUAUGUCGAGAGAGAUGACGACUCCUCCAACAGCAGAAAAUAAAUUCUUUCAUUCAUUAAUUUAAAGUAAAUUUUGUAAAUUUAGGUACUUGCACAUUGAGAUUUGCAAUUUAAUUUGACAGGACUUUUCAUUGAAUAAUGAAAUUAAAAACUAACGAUUAAAGAAUUUUUUAUAUUCUCUAACUCUUGUGGAAAUGUCAGCUGUAAAUAGGACAAUUUCAUGAAUCUUUAUCUGAAAGCGUAAUUGGCAGAGCAGAAACUUGUGAGACUAUCUAAAUUACACAGACUCGAUGUCUUCAAUUUGCUGAAAACAAUCUCUUGUUUUGAAUUUAAAUUUGGUGCUCCGUCUUCUUCUCCGUCACCUAUUACCACCUCUGUCAUUGCCCUGCAUCCAGCUACCUUCAUUGAUACGAGCCGCACUAGACUUUCUGCUGUAGUGGACGGAUGUUACAAUUCCUUGCAAUGGAAAACCAACAGUUCUGUUAGAUUCCCAAAAGAUAUAGAUGAUCAUGGGAAUAGACUUAAAUGCUUGUAAAAUAGUCUUAGAACGUCAAAAUAUUUAAAAUGGAGUCCAGUUUGGAGUUGCUUCAAUGAUUAAGUCUGGACAGGAUUAACCAUUUUAUCAGUGCCUACUUCCCCACUUGUUUCUAGCAGUAUCCGGCUUGAUUUAAGAAUUUCUCUUUGUAUGAACUAUAACCCAGUAGGAGAUAUUACCAAAAAAAAAAAAAAAAAACUUAUUUCAAAUGAUGCACAGGAGAAGAGUUACCUGAAUCUUCAUCAGUAUCCAGACAUUCUACAAUCACAGAGUAGAGAGUUCUAACAGGAAAAACAAAGAAAACAACGUUCUUCUAUACUUCUCAUAAAACUAGUCCAAAUUAGUCCCUUUCUUGGUAUCCAACGUUUUCAAACAAUAUUUCCACAAUAUAGUUUUUCAUAGCGAAGAGUUUUGCUUUGAUGGUUUAAGGAUUUGUUCUGGGCAUAAUGCUCUGAUUAGAUUUUGUUUAUUUUUAAUUUUUUAUCCGAUGAAUGAUUUUCAGCUGUUCUUAAUUAUGUGUUCAUAGGGAAGAGCAUUUGGAAAGAUCAUCAAAAAAAAAAAAAAAAAAUUCCAAAGAAAGAUAGGUGUGAAGCAAACCAAACUAAAUGAACAAACUAAAAUAACAGAACAGCAAUGAUGUUUUCAAGGAAUUAUAAAAUAUGAAGGCUUUUAAUGAAAUUUUAUCAUACAAAGGAUGCAAGGAAUUAUAAAAUUUUAGAAAACAAGGGGAACUCUCAAAAAAAGAAAAAAAGAAAAAAAAUACUCAAAUUAAACUAGACUAGAAGACAUUCAAUGAUGCAAAAUCUGUCCACAAAAGUCUGAACGAAUCAUUAAAAUUGCAUUCCAAAUUUAACAGUAAAGCCGAUUGACCCAUUCUAAAUAAUUCAGAUGAAAUUGCGAAACAAGCCAUGAGAUCAAAUAAAUGAAAUAAAAAUUAAUUACCAGCUGAGGCUUUCUUCUAAAAAUUCACAACUCCCAAGUCAUAAGAAGCCUAUGAAAUUAGUAAUGGGUAGAGAUCGCCGACUGCACCGCCAACAGCUGAAAAUAAAAUUCUUAUUCAUCAAUUUAAACUUUUACUUUAUAACAAAUAUCUUAUCUAUAUUUUAUUAAAAUAAAAAUUUUGUAAAAUGUUUCCAUGGGAGAUAGAGAGUACUAUGUAUAUCCGUACCUUUUCAGCAUGUAAUUGUUGUAUGGUUGUGUUUAGAUCAUUAUUGGUCCAAAGCAAUCGAUCCUCUGUCUCUCCAUACCAGACAUUUACUCUUGGAGGCGUGAUUGAUUCUCCUGUAGUAAAAAUCUUCAUCUUGGGACAACCAAUCACAUGCAAAUCUUGUAAAGAUGGGUAUUUGAAGGUGUAAUUGGCAGAGCAAAAACUUGUGAGGCUAUCUAAAUCAAACAGUUCCAACGUCUUCAAUUUGCGGAAAACAAUCUCUUCUUUUUCAACUCCAUCUUUGUCAUUUGUUACCACCUCUGUCAUUGCUCUGCAUCCAUAUAUUUCUAUUGCUACGAGUCGCACCAGAGUUUUUGCUGUGGAGGAUGUUACCAAGUGUAUCAAUUCCUUGCAACCGAAAGCUACAAGUUUUGUUAGGUUCCGAAAAGAUACCGAUGAUGAUGGCAAUAGAAUUAACAGACUUUGACAAUGAAUUACUUUUAGAAUUUCAAGAUACUGAAAAAUGGGGCCAAGUUUGGAGUCUUGUUUGCACAGCUGCUCCAGAUGAUAGUGCCAGUACAGCUGUAAUUCUUUUAUCAUUGCCAACUUCCCCGCAUGUUUCUCUAAGCAUCCUUCCAUCGAAAAUAGCUCUUCGUGGGAUGGAAAAAAAAGCAGUGAGAGCAUUUCGAGAUUGUGAAAUCUCUCAAGUACGUUCCAGAUUGGAAAACAAGCUGAGUCAUCUGCAGCAAUCUCUAGCUGUCUAAGACUGCCAAAAAGGUGUUGUGGGAAAUCGGCCUGCAAAAUCAUCUUCACAUCUUUUCCACUUAGUGAUAGUUCCUUCAAGUUGGGUACGAUCUGAUCAUCAUUAAUCAUAAUAACUAAUGAGGUCAAUUGAUGAUCUAUGGUAACACGCAGUGACUUUAUAGUAUUUGUUUUAUAUUAUAUGUUAAAAAAAAUUGAAUUAUUGAUAAAAUUUAUUUUGUAUGUUAAUUUUAGAGGUAAAGCAAGAAAUUAGGGAAAAAUAGUUGAUUUAUAUUGGCUCAAAAUUAUUUUAUUGCACAAUAAUAAAUUACUAAUUUAUUUUGUAAGUUCUUCUAAAUGGAAAGACUGAGGAUUCUUUUAUAAAUGCUAUACCUAAAAAAGUUCAUAUAAUUAUGAAUCUACCAUAUUGAUCCCUUAGUCUAGACUAGCAAAGAUUAUUGUAUAAUAAAAGUUUUUUAAUUUAUUGAGUAUUAAAUGAUUUUUUAUAUGUUAAUUUUAGAGGUAAAAAAGAAAUUAGGGAAAAAAGGUUGAUUUAUACUGACUCGAAAUUAUUUUAUUGCACAAUAAUAAAUUACUAAUUUAUUUUGUAAGUUCUUCUAUAUGGAAAGACUCAAGAUUCUUUUACAAAUGCUAAACCUAAAAAAGUUUAUAUAAUUAUUAAUCUACCACAUUGAUCCGUUAGUCUAGACUAGCAAAGAUUAUUGUAUAAUAAAAGUUUUCAAUUUAUUGAGCAUUAAUUUAUCGAUAUUUUGUCAUAUUUUUCAAAGUUAAAAAUAAGCAAUAGAUAAAAAAUCUAGAAAAUGGCUUCAUACCUUUUCCAAUGGCAAUAGGGGCUGUUGUGCAGGAAUACCAAGUUGAUCAUUCCCAUUAUUCUGCGAUAAAUCUGCAGCGAAUAUCUUUAAUUUGUCACAACCAUACACUACAAGAGUUUCUAGUGCGGGCCAUUCCCAAGUAUGCAUUCCAGGGUACAAAAAUCUAAGUUUUGGUAGAUCAUGGAGCAUCAAAGUGGUGAGCUGUGGAAAGACAAAAUGAGGGAUCACUUGAUCUGCUCUGUUUUCAGAAAUGAUCUCCUGUAAAUCCUCACAGGAGCGUAUUUCUAGGCGUUGGAGCUGCUUAAGGCUUCCGAUCAUAGACGCUGAAAAUAUGUAUUUCAGUUUGUGACACCACCACACAACUAAUCGUGUUAAACUUUGAAAGUGAGGAAACAUGGCCGCCGGAAUUUGAUUGUAGUGCCAAAUCUUGUCGACAUUAAUAUCAGAUAUCUCCAAAGCCUCCAAGUUAGGCAACGCAACCUAAAAAAAUAAGAAUUUCUCGUUAGAUCCAAUAUCCAUAUGGGAAGCACUUGUUGAAAUUUUCUUCUUUGAUUACAAAUUAAUGCAAGUCCGAAUCAAUUUCCAACUGACAGCUGAGAAUGCAUUCUAAUUCAUACUACUUGUUAAGAGCUCAAUUAGUGAGCGCGUGAGAUUCUUUUUAUCCUUUUUUCCAUUUUCUUUCAAAUCUUUAAAUGAUUUAAUUAUUUUCCACGUAUGACAUCAAAACAGAACGCAUGAUAGAAUAAAGUCUGUUAUAUAUAUAUAUAUAUAGAAAAUGUUAGCCUACGCACCUUCUCGUUGAAAAGCAGAGUUGAAAUGUCCAAAGUGAUUUCGCUGGAGCAAUACAUAGUCGUCGAUUCCUCUUGUGACACUUGUCUGUUCGGUGAUGCAGAAGGAGUCUCCACCUCACGGCGGCAAAAACUUGUAACCUCUGGAAGAUUUCCCACACUCAAAGAUCUUAAUUGAGCAAACUCUAUCUUCUCAAUUGCAUUAUCAACUUCUUCCCCAAUUGCAAAAAUCUCUUUCAUCUUGCUGCAAUUAAUAACUGCAAUUCUCUCAAGUCUUGGAAGGCAUUUUGCAGUAGAGAGCCAAAAGAUAUUACUCAACUUAUCACAAUUAUAUGCUUCUACGGUUUUGAGUUCGUUGAAAGACUCUACUUUGAGCCGAUCAACACAUAUCCUCUCCAUGUUGAUCAAAUUGUGAAGGAUAAGUGACUCCAAAAGAGGAAAGGCAUCACAAGCGACCAUCUCCCUUGAAUCGACGAUGCAAAAGAAGUCUGGAUUAUUUUGAACCCAGAGAAUCUUCAAUUGUGAAAAGCCCUCCGUGUCCAAAUUGAAAAGAACAUUCUCGAUGCCUUGCAGCUUGUCCAACCAUAAGCAUUCAACGUUAUUGAUGCCCUGCAAUUUCAUGGAGCAAAUGUCCAUAAAAUCAAGCUUGAGCUUCAAUGCUCUUGAAAUCUUACGAUCUCUGUCGAUCAAAAAGUGCUGCCGACUUUUAAACCAAUUUUGUCCAGCAAUCAUGGGAUGUGUGAAUAACCCAUUUCCAAUAUGUAUUUUGAACCUUUCGAGCUUUCUGGCCAAAAAGCCUUCUGGUAACAUACUCUCAUUUUUUACAUCAAUUUCUAGAGUGGUUAGCCGAGGUAAAUGCAUCAAUUCAUCAAGGCUAGCAUUACUUCUUUUGCUGUUGGCUCUUUCAACCUCCCAUUCAAUGGAGCAAUUACCCAUAUACAAUUCUUCUAAUCGGAUUAAGCUUGAUAUGACAUUUGGGGCAAUAACUUUCAGACGGAAACAGUCUGUUAAAUCUAACAGCCUUAGCUUAGUCAGUUGACCCAGUGCUUUAGGCAACUCUACAAUAUCAGAUUCCAAAAAGCUGAGGAUUUCUAGAUUUUCCAACUUUCCAAUAAUGGCUAUGUCUAUGCCUCCCAAAAUGCUUUGAUUAAGACAGAGUGCCUGAAGAUU
rnacentral:lncRNA from 1 species